AAACCAUGCAUUGGGCAUUUUCUAGUUAACUCAUUGAAUCACUCCCAUGCUUUAUAUAAUGUUUCAUCCUCAGAUUGCCAAAAGAACGUAAUAUCAUUCCUUAAUUU
rfam:Gossypium arboreum cultivar AKA8401 contig_16850_1, whole genome shotgun sequence.